UAUGAAUAGUACCCAACCCCGGGUACUAUUCAUCGGGUUACUCUACCAUGUCACCGCCUCAUGCUUCCCCUCUCUUAUCAGACAUCUUCUCCACCGCCUACACAUACGUCUUCGACCUUAGCUCCGACCACUGUGGCCUUCUUUCUAAUCGAAGCGGAGGAGAGGUCAUGUAGGUCACCGUCGUCUCCGAUUGAAUCAGGGACGUGCGGAUGGGCCACGGAGGUAGAAAACGGCGGUGUCGUAGACACGAGCAGCGGCGACGAGGGAGGAGUAACAACCAAGCCAAAUACAAGAACGUUUAUUGGGUUCUUGAAUCUCGGCGACCCACUUCCUCAUCCUGAUUCAUCUGUAGGGUUUGUUGGUUUCAAUUGAGUGAAUCUCCUUUCUCUUAGAUGAUGAACAACCGCCGUCUACCUCCAUGUGUGGCGGUGGCGGGGGCAUUGCGAUUGGUGAUUGGUGAAAGUGAAUUUGGGGAAGAAUGAUUGUGUAUUUAUAGAAGAAGAUGACGGAUUUAGCAAAAGAAGACAAGUAAAGUGUGUGUUGGCUGCUAACCGAGGUGUACGUUGUCGAGUCGGCACGCCCACUACGUACUGAGGAUUUCGACUCAACAGCCUUUCCUUUUGAUUUUCUGCAACCUCACAUUAGACGCAGGAUUGCUCGCCUAAUCGGUGGCUUUCUCCACCGCUCACUGCUGCUCAAUCAUCUUUCGCCUCCACCACAAAAGCCUCACGACACAUUCAUCUUAUGCAAUCCUAAAACUUACCUCCACCGAGUGUUGCUCUGUAAUCCACACUUUGAAGGGAAGACAAAGACACCUGAGAUUCUUCAGUUUUUAAAGCAGAUUAAGGAGAAGCUUAUAGAUGUUGAUGAAAAUGUUCUAUUCUUCAAAGAAGAGCCAGGGAUUAUUGAACAACUAAAACUUUCUACAUGGAUACUACAUUGAUUUUGCAGGAUCAAUUGAAGGAUGUUCAUUAUUUUAAAAUUUUCACUUUAAUGAAUACCAUCCUGUUGAUGUUGCUGAUGAGUUUCUCAACUCUGAAAGUGAUGAAAGUAAUUAUUAUUGGUAAUAUUCGUAUUUCAUGGUAUAAAUUUAGAUAAAUAUGAUAUGAUUAUGUAUU